rnacentral:rRNA from 2 species
UAGGGAAUCUUCCGCAAUGGGCGGAAGCCUGACGGAGCAACGCCGCGUGAGUGAUGAAGGUCUUCGGAUCGUAAAACUCUGUUAUUAGGGAAGAACAAAUGUGUAAGUAACUAUGCACGUCUUGACGGUACCUAAUCAGAAAGCCACGGCUAACUACGUGCCAGCAGCCGCGGUAAUACGUAGGUGGCAAGCGUUAUCCGGAAUUAUUGGGCGUAAAGCGCGCGUAGGCGGUUUUUUAAGUCUGAUGUGAAAGCCCACGGCUCAACCGUGGAGGGUCAUUGGAAACUGGAAAACUUGAGUGCAGAAGAGGAAAGUGGAAUUCCAUGUGUAGCGGUGAAAUGCGCAGAGAUAUGGAGGAACACCAGUGGCGAAGGCGACUUUCUGGUCUGUAACUGACGCUGAUGUGCGAAAGCGUGGGGAUCAAACAGG